ACUUUACCAUGCGGGCAACCGUGAUAAGGAAACCCCGAGUGCCAGCACAGGCUGGCUGUCCACCAGUGUAAAUAACUGGUGAAGAAAGGGCCGGGCAAGGCCGGUGCCAGCCGCCGCGGUAAUACCGGCGGCUCGAGUGGUGGCCGCUAUUACUGGGCUUAAAGGGUCCGUAGCUGGAUAUACAAGUCCCUUGAGAAAUCCGCCGGCUUAACCGGUGGGCGUUCAGGGGAAACUGUAUUUCUAGGGACCGGGAGAGGUGAGAGGUACUGCCGGGGUAGGAGUGAAAUCCUGUAAUCCCGGUGGGACCACCUAUGGCGAAGGCAUCUCACCAGAACGGGUCCGACAGUGAG
rnacentral:rRNA from 1 species